UGCAAGUCGAGCGGACCGACGGGAGCUUGCUCCCUUAGGUCAGCGGCGGACGGGUGAGUAACACGUGGGUAACCUGCCUGUAAGACUGGGAUAACUCCGGGAAACCGGGGCUAAUACCGGAUGCUUGAUUGAACCGCAUGGUUCAAUCAUAAAAGGUGGCUUUUAGCUACCACUUACAGAUGGACCCGCGGCGCAUUAGCUAGUUGGUGAGGUAACGGCUCACCAAGGCGACGAUGCGUAGCCGACCUGAGAGGGUGAUCGGCCACACUGGGACUGAGACACGGCCCAGACUCCUACGGGAGGCAGCAGUAGGGAAUCUUCCGCAAUGGACGAAAGUCUGACGGAGCAACGCCGCGUGAGUGAUGAAGGUUUUCGGAUCGUAAAACUCUGUUGUUAGGGAAGAACAAGUACCGUUCGAAUAGGGCGGCACCUUGACGGUACCUAACCAGAAAGCCACGGCUAACUACGUGCCAGCAGCCGCGGUAAUACGUAGGUGGCAAGCGUUGUCCGGAAUUAUUGGGCGUAAAGCGCGCGCAGGCGGUUUCUUAAGUCUGAUGUGAAAGCCCCCGGCUCAACCGGGGAGGGUCAUUGGAAACUGGGGAACUUGAGUGCAGAAGAGGAGAGUGGAAUUCCACGUGUAGCGGUGAAAUGCGUAGAGAUGUGGAGGAACACCAGUGGCGAAGGCGACUCUCUGGUCUGUAACUGACGCUGAGGCGCGAAAGCGUGGGGAGCGAACAGGAUUAGAUACCCUGGUAGUCCACGCCGUAAACGAUGAGUGCUAAGUGUUAGAGGGUUUCCGCUCUUUAGUGCUGCAGCAAACGCAUUAAGCACUCCGCCUGGGGAGUACGGUCGCAAGACUGAAACUCAAAGGAAUUGACGGGGGCCCGCACAAGCGGUGGAGCAUGUGGAUUAAUUCGAAGCAACGCGAAGAACUUUACCAGGUCUUGACAUCCUCUGACAACCCUAGAGAUAGGGCUUUCCCCUUCGGGGGCAGAGUGACAGGUGGUGCAUGGGUUGUCGGUCAGCUCGUGUCGUGAGAUGUGGGUUAAGUCCCGCAACGAGCGCAACCCUUGAUCUUAGUUGCAGCAUUCAGUUGGCACUCUAAGGUGACUGCCGGUGACGAACCGAGCAAGGUGGGGAUGACGCUCAAAUCAUUCAUG
rnacentral:rRNA from 1 species